rnacentral:lncRNA from 1 species
GUGUUGCUGAUCAGUGCUGAUCUCUACGUCUGAGUUGGCCCCACAACAUCCAGGCACCACUGUGCUUUGCUUCAUUGACAAGGUGUGGCUGGGCCUGUAGAAAAGCUGUAAGCAGACUGCAGUGUUGCUGAUCAGUGCUGAUCUCCACGUCCGAGUUGGUCCCACAACAUCCAGGCACCACGGUGCUUUCACAAGAGGCAUACGAGCACUUUGUGUCAAAAACGCCGAGCACUGUGGAUACAGAGGCAAGGAGGCUGAAUGACCUGAACAAGCACCUGGCCACCAUGCUUCGGGAUGCAAAAUAAAGAUGGUUUGUGUUAAUUGUGUGCCCUAAAAA